CGGAGUGAUUCAUGACUGGGGUGAAGUCGUAACAAGGUAGCCCUAGGGGAACCUGGGGCUGGAUCACCUCCUUAUACGA
rnacentral:rRNA from 2 species